rnacentral:lncRNA from 1 species
UGGUUGUGUUUGGUGGGUUUUGAGUUUUGAGUUUUGAGUUUUGGAAGCUCUCCUUUUUUAGGCUCCAUCUCUUAUUUUGGUACAUAUAUUCUACCUUUAUUGGUGCUUUCUUGAUGGAAAAUUGGAGCGCACCAGGUACAAAACUACUUUUUAAAAUUGCUACUACACUUGUGUUCUACUCUGUUUUUUGGGAAGGGGGGAGUACAUACAUACCCACUCACUCUGGGUUUUGGGUUUUUGCAUGUACAUAUGCAUGUAAAUAACCAGUAUUUUUAUACCUUAGCUUAACAGGUUUCUUUUUUUU